AUACGCGAGGUGAGAAGAAGGAGAUCAAGCUGUCGGAUCUAGGCCAACCUAUAUCAGAUGAUGACGAUCAUUUGCUAUCUGAGUUCAGCAAUUUCUUAGGAACAACGGUAAGGGAGUUUGUUUCUCUAACAUGUCGUAGUUGGAGUGAAGUUCCUGAAAAAGACAUCUUAUGGCAGUAUGUGAAGGAUAAAUACAUCAUUCCUGAGGAGGGUUAUAAAUGGGUAAUGACAACGAUGCGUGAUCAGUUUAGGGCAUACAAGGCUCGCAUCAAGAGGGAACAUUAUAGUAAGUAUGGUACUGAUGAGGAGAGGCUCGAGAACAGGCCGAGGGAUGUCCCUUUGAAAGAUUUUAAAAUGCUUUUAAUUUAUUGGGCUGAUGAAAAAAUAAAGGACAAGGCGAUAAAAAAUAUAAGGGCUCGAAGCUUUUUAAGUGAAACACAUACCGUCGGGCCUAGGAGUUUCGCCUAAGUCUGCCACAAAAUGGCAAUUGCUAGGGAACAGGCG